rnacentral:rRNA from 1 species
UACGUAGGGUGCAAGCGUUGUCCGGAAUUAUUGGGCGUAAAGAGCUCGUAGGUGGCCUGUCGCGUCGGCUGUGAAAACUCGGGGCUCAACUCCGAGCUUGCAGUCGAUACGGGCAGGCUAGAGUUCGGCAGGGGAGACUGGAAUUCCUGGUGUAGCGGUGAAAUGCGCAGAUAUCAGGAGGAACACCAGUGGCGAAGGCGGUUCUCUGGGCAUUACCUGACGCUGAGGAGCGAAAGUGUGGGGAGCGAACAGG